AGCUCCAAUAGCGUAUAUUAAAGUUGUUGCAGUUAAAAAGCUCGUAGUUGGAUUUCUGUGUCAAGCUUCUGGUCCGCCGCACUGCGGUGCUGACUAAGUCGCGUUGACUCAUCCUUGUGGGAAUCAGUCUGGGCUUCACUGUCCGGCUGUUGCACCGCAUCUUUUACUGUGAAAAAUUAGAGUGUUCAAAGCAGGCUUACGCUGUGAAUACAUUAGCAUGGAAUAAUAAUAUAGGACUUUGGUUCUAUUUUGUUGGUUGGAGACCAAGGUAAUGAUUAAUAGGGAUAGUUGGGGGUAUUCAUAUUUAAUUGUCAGAGGUGAAAUUCUUGGAUUUAUGAAAGAUGAACUUAUGCGAAAGCAUUUACCAAGGAUGUUUUCA
rnacentral:rRNA from 1 species